AAUGAACGUUGGCGGCAUGGAUUAGGCAUGCAAGUCGAGCGAGAAGGGUUUUGAAGCUUGCUUUAGAACCCGGACAGCGGCGAAAGGGAGAGUAACGCGUAGUUAUGUGCCCUAGGGUCCGGAAUAGCCACGGGAAACUAUGGGUAAUGCCGGAUAACAUCCCCGGAUCAAAGGUGUGAUUCCGCCAUAGGAGCAGACUGCGUCCUACUAGCUAGUUGGUGGGGUAAUGGCCCACCAAGGCAAUGAUGGGUAGCGGGUGUGAGAGCAUGACCCGUCUCACUGGGACUGAGACACUGCCCAGACACCUACGGGUGGCUGCAGUCGAGAAUCUUCGGCAAUGGGCGAAAGCCUGACCGAGCGAUGCCGCGUGCGGGAUGAAGGCCCUCGGGUUGUAAACCGCUGUCGUAGGGGAGGAAGGUUCCGUGAAGAGCGGAAUUUGACCUAUCCUAGGAGGAAGUACGGGCUAAGUUCGUGCCAGCCGCCGCCGUAAAAC
rnacentral:rRNA from 1 species